GUAGUAAGAUAUACUGAGUUUGGGAUGGAAGGUUUAAACCAAGGAGGGACCUUUUAGUAACAAAAUGUUGUUUGAUCUGCUUGCCAUGUUGUUAAGGAUUCAACAAAACUUGCUUGCAAACAGGGAUGGGUUUAAUAGUUAAAUCUCUCUAAAUUAACCCUCCUCUGUGAACCCCUCCUUAGAUAAUCUGGAGCACAGCCUGCCCAGGUGGACACCGCUUCCCAUGGCCCUUUGCAGAAGGGAGCGAGCGCCAGCUCCCAGCUCCCCUGGGUUAGCGUGGACUGUACCCUGGGCCCUGCAGCCGGUGCAGAGAGGAAAGGAGGAGAUGCUGACUCACAGCUCGGUGACAGCACUCCCACGCCUGGGGACGGAGACCAGAUGGCAAAGCCCUGUCCCAAGACCACCCAGCGCUCACAGCCCGAACGUGCCUCUCCAUCAGAGGCCAGCGAAUUUGCCAUGUGGGGCAGCUGUUUUCAGCCUGGGGCUUGAUUAAUUGAGUCAGGGCUGUUAGUCCAUCAGAAAUGGGUUUGAAAAACAAAACGCCUCCCGCAGGAAGCACAGGACUAGGUCAGAUGUUGAUGAGUGGGGAGGAUUCCAGAUACUCCUUUUGGCAUUAGCCCAGGCCGCAUGGCUGAACGUCCCUGGACAUCAGGCCCCAGCAGUCAGCUCCAGCAGUGUGACCACAGCCACCUGUAGUCACUGCCUGAGGAUGGAAACAAAGCCUCAUGCGUUGAAGCACAGUGACGUGGGUCUGCCGGGAAAGCCAGCCGUGGUCCUCAGAAGCUUCCAUCAUUUCCCGUCUUUAAGCUUUGCGUGGGGUCGGGUGCGGGACUGUGCACAAGCAGGACCUGCAGGGCCGCAUGCUUCUCCCUGGCUCCACCCAGCCCUCCAGUCCCUGCAGGGCCCACACAGGGAAGGGCUCAAGGCCAGGCUCAGAGAGAAUGGCGAAGGAGAGACAGGAGGUCAGAGAGAGCCUGGAGCCUUCUCAGAAAGCUUCGUGCAGGGGGCAGUAGAGUCCCAAAGAAUUAGAAGGGUCAGGGCAAGUGGAGGAGCAGGCAGGGCAAUGCGAGUAGGGCAGGAGCUCCGUGGGCGCAGGGGAGAGUCACUGCCCAAGGUCUCCUGUGUGUGUCCCCUGCUGCUGCUGAGAACAGACCACAGGGUCAGUAGGACUGUACCCUCAGGAGUUUUCUGUCCAAGAAAAUACAGGGGAGAGAGCGGCCUGGACUACGGGGAUGGUCCCAGCAAAGCCCUGGUGUGGGGCAGAGGCGGCCGCGUGUCUGGGCUGUCCUCUCUGAGGUCCCGCCCACUUCUCAUCGUCCCCCUCCACUCCAGUCGUGACUGAAUUCUUCCCGCUCCACUGCCUCAUCCCUUGGUGCCUUGGCCAGUGGGCCUAGAAUGCUCUUCCCCCACGUCCCCUGCCUGGCAAACUCCUAGUUUCCUCAGCCUCUGUGCAGCAUCACCUUCUCUGAGCCCCUCACCAGACUGUCUGGAGGGCCCCUCCUCCGCUUUCUCCAGGACCCUGACCUGACUGUAAUACUGUAGUAGAUAUUAACACAUGUUAUCUUCACCACUCUAUAUGGAAACACUAGUAUCUUCAUCCUACAGAUGAGGUCACUGCGGUGCAGAGAAGUUAAGCAGGUUGCCCAAGGUCACACAGCUACUUCCUGUAUGUCAAAACACUCUUGUAAUUGUUUACAAGUCUGACUCCCUUCCCAUCUAGGAGGGUCUCCAGGCUGGCCUUCCCCAUCUGGCUUCAUGAUGCCUUUCUGGGCCAGAGUCCAAGGGAUGUUUGUCCACCAAAGCGUGCACACUGGCCCAUGAAACAAGCAGCCAUCCCGGAACCCCCACAGGUCAGCCGCCACACCAGUCACAGGACGUCGCCUCUGCUUCCCGGGCUGCUACCCUCCCUUCCUAGAGAGACAGGGAGGUGACAGCAGGGUACAGACUCCGGCAGCAAGAAAACAAACAGCACCCAGCUCCCCACCUCCCACGUUUCUCGGAACUGGCUGCCCUUCCGGCUCUCAGGCAUGAAGGAGUUCUUCGAAGAGGGACCAGGGAGAGGCAAGAAAGAUGCAGACAACACAGAGCGACAGUGGAAACAUUGACCCGUCCUCAUAAGCCACGUACUUCAUAAAUCAUGCAUCUUUGCCCAGAUGUCAGCCACCUUCACCCAGCUGUCACCAUCCAUCCUCGGUGCCCUCCUGGGUGCCAAUCCCACACCUCGGGUCAAGGGAGACCCUCAGCCCACGUGGCUUUCAUCCUCAGAACAGGCCAGCUCCCCCUCUCCUCCUUAGGUCCCCAGGUCUGUUUCUCGCAAUGGCACCUGCCCAGCCGGUGACUUCACAGGAUCCUUGCCCGUGGGCACGUACCACAGAGCCAAGCUGAUUUGACUGUAUUCCUCUGUGGGCCGGAUGUCCCCCUGCUCUUGUCUUCCUCUAUAUUCCUUACAGAUGCAUCAACAGCUAGUGGGUGAAAAUGCUCCACCGGCCCCUCCAGCCUCUCUGCAAACAUGUGCAAGCACACAGAGCCACUCACAACUACAAACACACAUACGCACCAGAGACGCACCCACAGGCUGCGGAGUUCUGAUUUCUCCCACUGCUUCUGGUGGCUCUGUUCUUUGCAUAGAGCUCUGCAAGGCCAGAUUGGGAUGAGGACCGUUUGGAGAACAGUACUCCAUGAGUCACGGAUGGCUUUCCUGGAAGCCACUGCCUCCAUAGACUCUGGAAAUAACAAGGGGCUCUCAGUCACCAGCAUCAGCAAGGCCACUGCAGCCACAAUCAGUCAGAAUUAGGUUAAGCCAACAACAGUGGGUUAAACCAGUGUUUCUCAAACUUGAACAGGCAUACAAAUCACUGAGGAUCUAGUUAAACCGUAGAUAUUGAUCCAGUAGGUCGGGGUGGCACACAAGAUCGUACAUCUCUAACAAGCUCCCAGGAGAUGCCAGUGCUGCUGGUCCUUGGGACGCACUUCGAAGAGCAGGAGCUUAAACAAGAUCGUUUAUUUCUCCCUCAUGUUCUUGAAGUCCAGAAGGAGUCAGUCCAGGGCUGGGAUGGCACUCCACGGUCUCAGAGACCCACUUUCCUUCUAUCUCGUUGCUCUACCAUGUGUGAUUUCCAUUUUCAAGGUGAUUCUCAUGAUGCAAGAUGGCUGGUGGAGCUCCAGCCAUUGCACUGCACUUUCUCAGAAAGCAAGAACUGAUAGAAGAAGUGCUUGCCCCUUGCCUGUAGGAAUACAUCGGAAUUUGCACACUUCCAUGCAUAUGCCUCUAGCCACAGUGAAGCCACAUGGCCUCACCUUUGUCCAUCUGCAAAGGAGCUGGGAAGUAGUCUUUUUUUGGGGCUAUCAUGUGCCCAACUGAAAACUGGAAGUUCAAUUGCUGAGGAAGUAGAUAAAGCACAUUGGGAGGCAGUCAGUAAUCUCCAACACACAGCAGGCUGAGAUGGAAAUGUGAGCAUUUCUGAACCUUUGCCGGCAGUGCCAGUUUUUUGUCUUCCGGGACCAACCAUGAGAGUGAGCCUGGGCCCCCACUGCUGCCCGCCGUCUCUCAGUCCACUUUAAGGCGAGUCUGGUAAUAUGACCAGCCGCACAUGCUGAGCUCGGAGGCUGCGUGAGUCGUGGCGAAGCCUGAGGCCCUGCGGGCAGACAGCCCAGGUUCACAUUGGUUCUACUGGUUAUUGGCUAUAUGACCUCGGACAAGUGACUUAAACUCUUUGUGCCUCUGUGUCCCAUCUGUGAAUGGGGACAACGCUGGUGUCUCUCUCCACGUGUUGGUGUGGGCACGAAAGGAGCAGAGGCCGCCGAUGAGCACCCAACAGACACCAGCCCUGGUGAGGAAACGAGGCCGCCCCAGUGCUCUUCACCCGCCCGCCGUGCACCACACCCUGUGUGCUCUGUGUGCGAGGAAGCGCCAGGAGGAGGCGGAGACCCAAGGCCGUCCUGGAGGAGCUGACAAUUUAUAGCUGUGUCUGACUCUGAAUGAAUGACCUUGGGGCUACACAGUGGAAGACCAGCCAUUUAUUUGGAGAGACUCUCAGUUUGCUAAGAAAAUUUCAGGAUGAUUUUCUUCCGGACUUUCUUCAAAUGAAUUUUUUGCAGAAGAAAUGAACCAAAACUCUACUGUGAUAGCUUCGUAUCGCCUUGGCGAGGUGGAACUCCAUUCUCCCGAAUUCCUUUUCUGGCCUGUUUCUGAUUAGGACUAUACAAGGCAGGUUCUCAGGAGCGAGUGGGCAGGAGGAAGGGAGGCAGCGGGCAUUCUGUAGCACGCGCUUGGUCAACACACAGAGCACUCCUCUGCCGACCCAUGUGAAGCAGCACAGGCACAGAAGUCGGUGUUAGAUGAAGAGCCCGGGGCCCGGCGGGAUUCCCUGUCACCAAGGUCGGAGGCAACGGGAGCAGACACGGGUUUCCAUCCAUCCUUACAGAGUUCCAGCACCUGCUUUUGGAGUCCCAGCCUGCUCACCAGCCUCCCUUUUCGGACUGCUACCCUGGGGACUUCAAGCUCCAACAUCAGACGUGGAGGCAUCCAGCCAGCCCUCCAACUGGCCAAUCCCCUGUAAUAACGAACUGUUUAUUUCUCUAGUUUUCUAUCUAAAAUCUUGCCCUCUCCCACUGGUUCUGCUUCAGGGGCUCAGUGGAGACCCCUGACUCGUAUGUGUACUGUCAGAAAGGCAGGGGAACUGACCUGCCAUCCAAUCCCCUAUUCACAGCUGGGAGAACGGCGGUCCAGAGAGGCAUGCUGCUUUACUCAAGGUCACGCUGACAGCCAGUGACCAAGAAGCCACCAGAACCCGCACCCCCAGUUCCUGCGCCAGCGCUCCUUGUGCAGCCGUCUCCAUCAAUGCUCACACAUUCCCACCACAGAGGCUUUCUGAGACCCUCCUGCUGUCCGCUGCCAGGCCAGGUGUGGGGAUUUCGGGCCACAUCACAUGAGGGUCCUGCACUCGAUCUGCCCACAGUCUAGUGAGGAGACAGGUAGGUCUGUAGAUAGCGCUGACAUGCGGUCGCAAGUGCCCAGGUCAGGGGACAGCGAGCAUGGAAGCCUGUGGGCCCCAGAAGCCAGCCCCUCAUGAAACAUCAGAGGGAGGGGAUGGGUGGGGCAGCCACGAGAUACCCAACGCCGAUCUGCUCUGAGGAAACUCUCGAAGAGCUCUUCUUGCACACGGCCCUGGAAUGAAUCUGUGGACCGAGAACGUCCUGCAGUGCCAGCCCUGAACAGUCUGGAGGGGGGGGGGGAGGGGGAGGAUGCUCCCCUCCGUGCCCACUGGCCUCCCUGCUGCCCUCUGCUCAGCGAUGGCCGGAGGGGCAGGCAGGGCCGGGGCUUGGCGAGUGUCUGGAUCGCCAGUGACCAGCACAAUGACGACACAUAGUCAGCCUCUAGAAGGGCUCGUUGACCAAAGUGUGUUGCCGAUGCCUCACAGAGCAGUGUCCAGGGCUGUGCGAACCCCUCCCAGGGGCAAGGCCUCAGGCAGAGUGGAGAGGGCGGGGCCCCUUCAGAGCCGCUCCCGGCUCCUCCCUUCUCAUCAGUUCAUUGCAGAGGAGACAGAUCCUCAUCACCAGAGGGGACACGCGGAAGCCAUACAGGACACCACCCCUGAAGUGUUACAAACACCCUGCCUGGCCUUCCUAAGUCCUGCAGCCCUGGCCUGGGGACUCCCAGAAACACAAAGACCAGGGAGCGGCUGUGCUCACCAGCCCAGGGCUCACGCCGACGUGCUCUGGAGAACAAACUGCGCUGGUUUGGUGACCGAGGUGGGGAAGGAACCUGGCAGGGUGGGUGGCAGCGGGGAGGAACAGGACUGAAGCCACUUGUCCCUGUUUGCUCAUGGAUGAGCCAGAAACCCUCUGAACUUACUGGAAGGCUCCUGGGACCUUGUUUUCCUGAAACGGUACAAAAACAGGUUGGACCUCUCCAAUGUUUACUUGAGGACGUAAUUACUUAAGUACGAGCUGGGUUGCCUGGCAGGCUGGCAGAGGUAAAGGUGGGGCAGAGGCAUCUGCUGCUCACCUGGGCCUGAGAAGUCCUAGGAGGUGCGCGGCCCAACCCAGGACAGAGCAACCCGGAAGAGACUGAGUUGCGGCUGGAAGAGUCCUGGCGGCGGAGUAGGACAGAGUUGGUAGGAAUGCUGUGUGGCUCUGAGCAACUUACUUAACCUCUCUGAACUGCUGUCUUCAUCUGCUAAGUGGAAAUAGCAAUACUUCCCUUGCUAGGUGGUUGGAGGAUUGGCAGUGGUUGCCUGGCAGCCAGCAUUCAGGCAGAGGCUGUUGUUAGUAACAAAGUCCUCAUCUGGUGUUCUGGAGGCCCAGCCACCACCCUCAGUCUCCUUCACAAAUCGAUUCUAUCCCAGCAUGUACUCUCACUGCCGUGCGGCGGUUCCCCCCAGCCUCGCUGCUCCCAGACCUGAACAGCACUGCUUCAAGGCAUCAGGCGAUGUGGGUUGGCUGACACGAAAUGGCCACUGAGGCUGUGGAAACACUCGUAGGUGCUGGGAAAGGGUUCUCCCAGUUCAGCUCUGCCUUGUCAUGACUCAGCUUCCCUCUGCUCUUGUCUUCCUAAGCUCCCAAGGAGCCGCGUUUCUGCCCUGUGCCCUGAGGGCGUCUGGCUGCCUCUUUCAUCGGUCUCUCAUGACCGUCAAGGCUUUGCCGCUUGGCCCCAGUGCUGUGGCUUGGAAAGAAAUACAGACCUUGGUGCACUGAAAUUCCUGGUGAGGCUCAGGGCCACGCAGACGGCCCUGAGCAUGUUCAAAUGUGUUUUUAGGUUAACAUCAAAAUGACAGCACCCCAUUUUUAAAUUUUCAAGAAGAUGCUGCUCCCAGUCUGAGAAAGUCUGGACGGGGGUCACCAGGACCUGGCGCAGUCCCCCCAGCCUCUUCCUCACGUGUGACGCCUCUUGUUGCUGACCCUCCGGGCUCACAGGAGGAGCGGUGGGUGUGGACCCAGAGCCCUCAGCGGUGGCUGGAGGUGGACCGCACACAGCGGCUGGAAGCUUUCCUCCUCCCUGUCUCCAAGCCCUUCACAAUGACAUUGCAGCUCCCUCCUCAAGGGGCGGGGCGCCUGUUCCCUGCCCUUGAUCCAGGUGCGCCUGAGGCUUGCUCUGACCAGAGAACGCAGUGGACGUGAGGGUGCCGGGUCUGAGCCAGGCCCCUGAGGCUGGUGGGCUUUCCCUCUCUCAUUCGCCCCUCAAUUCCUCCCUUUAAACCCAGAGUCCUUGGUUUUGGGAAGGUGGCUCAGGUCCAGAGCUCCUCCCACGAGGGGAAAGCACCCUGGCACCGUGUCGAGUGGAGAGAAGGUACAGAGCGGGGAGAGACACAGGAAGUCUGCAGGCCUCCUGUCCCCAGGGGGGAAAGGAUGCAGAGGCUGACCGUGCCUGCCUCCUCGUUGAAGAAACUCCAGCAAGCUGGGAGACUGAAAUUACCUGCUGGCCUCAGCGAAGCCCCAGGACAAGGACAGCGUGCCUUGUCCCCUGCAUGAUGGCCGGGCAGGGAAGGCUCCUCUGGUAGCAGCUGCUGUCAAACUGUGUCAUUCUGCAGAAGGGACACUCCAAGCUCAUAGAUGCUAUGCCACGUCCUCAAGCCAAGAGGAAGCAAAGGGCGGGCUGGGGCCAGCUCCCGACCAGACGUUCUCAGCCUCUAUCAGGACAUGUGCGGCCCUGCCUCCCACUGCUCCCUACAAAAUCCAGAUCCGCUCACAUCUGAGAUUCUCUCCUAAGGGUGGAGCUCCGUGAGAGCUGCAGUCAAGUCUGCUUCACUUCUCCAUGUUCCUGGUGUCCAGCACUCCGUCUGGCCAGAGGAGGAGCCGGGGGGGGCUCUGAGGGAGCUUUCCCGACUCCCUCCCACCGAGUGCAGGCUCAAAGUCUUCUGUCGCAGCAUGUGUACCUCUCUCAGGCAGUACUUUAAGCAUGUGUAUAAGCAGAAUAACGACCCACCUAAACAGUCCACGUCCUGAUCCCCGGAACCUGUGAGUAUGUCACUUUACACGGCAAAGUGGAACUAAGGUUGCAGAUGGAACUGAGUUUGCUGGUCAGCUGACCUUGAGAUGGGGAGAUCAUCCCGGGUUAUCCAGGUGAAGCAAAGGUCAUCACGAGGGUCCUAGUAAGUGGAAAAGGGGAGAAGAAAAGAGAGACCCAGAGAUGGCAGCGUGAGAAGGACUCAGCCUGGCAUUGCUGCCUUUGAGGAAGGAGGAAGAGGCCAAGGGCCAAGGAAUACAGGCAGCCUCUAGAAGCUGGAAAAGGCAAGGACACGGCUUUCCCCUGGAGCAUUUAGAAGGAGCCAGCCCAGUCAACACUUUGAUGUUGGCCCAAUGAUACUCAUUUUGGACUUCUGACCUUCAGAACUGUAAGACGAUAAGCUUAUGUUCUUUGAAGCCACUAAGUUUGUGAUAAUUUGUUAGAGCAGCAAUGAGAAAUUAGAACACUGUGUUUGAAUUUUUUUAAUCAAUCUGUAGAAGCCUGUUGUAUGUUAGGGAUAUAAGCCCUUUAUUUUCUUAUAUCCAUGCUACCCUCACCUUCUGGUACUGGAAUUAUUGAUUUAUAAGCUACCUGCUUCCUCCUUGAGCCCCCAAGGAGAGGGUCCACGUUUCAUCUUGGCAUUUCUAGCAAAGGAACAUCUGGCAGGUGCACCAUAAAUGCGGAAUGAAUGAAGGAACAGAAUAGCUUUGGGAAUAUCUUUACAUUCUGUCGUCCCUGCCCCCUCCCCAUCCCUGCACCACACAAGCACCAAGCCUUCAGAUAACGGGAAACCGGAUGUUGUCCCAUUUCUUGGCCUUGUCCCCCAGGCUUACCUCAGAUAUGAGGCUGACCGUGAAUUCCCCAGAUGACUGUGUCCCCAUGCCUCACUUCCCGAGUGGGGCCUGGAUAGGUAGCAGGACUGGGAAGGGACAUCUACACUCGGCAAAAUGCAGGGGCUGCAGAGGUGACGUGGCUGUGGGCGGCAGACACAGAAUGAGGUGGCUUCCCAAAUCCCCCAAUACUCCAGCAUGUCACAGGCUGCAGCAGGACAUUCUCCCAUGCAGACAAGAAUAGGGUCACUGCGACUCUACUGGUUGCAGAACUGGCCUGUUCUGAAGUCUGGGACCAGAGCAAAGAUGAAGGCAGCACAAUGGAAGUCUGCCCGGAAAGAUGACACCAAGCAGGACCAGAUGCUCUGCUCCAUUGCAGCUUUGCGGGGCGGUGAAGGAAACCCUGUGCUGAAUUAGUAAAUUCUGGAUUGACAGAGAUGAAAUGUCUACUAUUUAGAAUAACUGGGGCUUAAAGAGAGAGGUAAGUUGAACUGUUAAAAAAAAAAAACAGUCACCUCUCUGACAUGCCUGAGAUUUUUACUCACUUCACACAAUUCGAAAGGAAUUAAAAGGGAUUAAUUUGAAAGGAGGAAGGAACUCGGGGAAAUUAACUCUUCCCUGGGAACUGUCAGGCAGGGCAGCCUCUCUGCAGAGGCGGUAUGGGGGCGGGGGAGCAGCCAUUUCGGUGUGCUUGCAUCAGGCAGGACAGGGCCUGAAGACCCACCCACCCCAAACCUCCCCUUUGCAGGAAUCUGCAGCCCCAGGAUUGGCUCAGGGAGUCAGCCCCAGGCUACGGACGGACGGGGUGGGAGCAGGAGGCUGCAGGCUGGCUCUGCAAUCUGUUGGAUCACUCACUCUGGGGGAAGCCGUGUCAUGAGCAGCCCCAUGGAGAGGUCUUUGCGGCAAGGAACUGCUGGCUGGUGCCGACAACCACAUGAGUCAGCUCGGAAGUCAAUUCUCCAGCUCCCGCUGAGCCUUGAGAUGACCAUGACUCUGUCCCACAGCUGGACACAACCUGAGAGAUGCCGAGCCAGAACGCCCAGCUAAGCUGCUCCUGAAUUCCUAACCCUCAGAAACUGUGAGAUAACAUUGUGUUGUUUGAAACCAUUAAGUUUUGGAGUAAUUUGUUAUGCAGCAAAAGUAAGAAAUAUCGGAAAUCCUUUUCCUUCACAGUUUUGAAAGCUUUGCUCUAUGGCUAAAGCUCUAGCUCUCCAGCGUUUCUGUUGAGAAAUCCAAAACAAUUCUGAGCCCGAUUCUUUGAACAUGACCCAUUUCCCCUGGAAGUUGUGGCACGUUCUCUUCAGCCCAUCUGUUCUGAGACUGGACAGUCAUUCGUCAUGUUGCGUCUCCAUGUUCCAUUGUGCUGGGCCCCUGGUGGGCUGCUUCAGUGUAGAAAUUCAUUUCUUUCACUUCUGGGACUUUUCUUGAAUUAUUUCAUUGACAAUUUACUCCUCUUCAUUUUCUCUAUUCUCCAUUCCUAGAAUUCUUUUUGUUCAUAUUUUGGAUCCGCUGGACCAGUCCUUAUUUUCUUACUCACUGCCCUCUUUUCCUCUAUUUUCCAUUUCUGUGUUUUUUGUCUUGCUUUCUGGGUCAUUUCUUUAUCCUCCAAUCUUUUAGUAAAGCUUUUUAUUUUCGUUUUUAUUCUGUGUUCUCUUCUUUUGUUGUUUUUACGGAGUGUUCCCUUUUUAUAGCAUCUUGUUCUUAUGUCAAGGAUGCAGUAUCUUCUAUUAUCACUCUAGAAAUAUCAAUACUAGAGUUUUAGGGGAACUUUUUGGUUUGUUUCUUCAAAAGUCUUCUUCCUCUGCAUAGUCACUGUCUUUUCAAGUUGUUUUCUCUUGUUUAUUUUCUUUGAUCUCUCUCCUUCAUGUGGAUGUCUGGCAACCUUGGUUCCUCUGUUGAUAUUUAAGAGUGGAGCACUAAAGAAUUGACUGGAAGCUCUUAGGCUUUAGGGGGUUGAAUUUGUUCCCCUGAGCCUCACCUUGGGUGAUGUGGAUGGACCACUGUGGAUGGACUGUUGGCCCUUGUUCUGGCUGUCCAUCACUGUGUCCAAAGCUUUGUGGCUUCAAACUACAGCACUGGAAUUGCUCACCAGUGUGCCAUCAGGACAGUGCUCAGUGGGGACAGCUCGUUUCUGCCCCAUUCAGCAACAACUGACAUAGCUUGAAGGCUGGGGGAUGAAGGCUUGCUCACUUGUCUGGCAUCUGGGCUGGGGAGACCCAAACAGGUGGAGCUCACACAGCUGGGCCUCCUUGGGCUUUUCUCCAUCUCUGUGUGCUCUCUCCAGCAUGGUGGCUCCAGGGUAGGUACAUUCCCUACAUGUUGGCUCAGGGCUCCCAAAACACUUGCCCAAGAGAAACAGCGAGCCAGGGCAGAAGACGUAUCACUUUUUAUGACCCAGCAUUGGAGGUCAUAUCAUUUCUUUCCCUAAAGCAGUCACAAAGGCCCACCCAGGCUUAAGGGAGGGAGAAUAGACCCCACCUCCUGAUAGGAGAAGUGUCAAAAUUCUGGAAGAGCAUAUGAGACCGGAGAUAUUGUUAUAGCCAUUUUUGAUACAAAGUAUCAUAAUACUUAAGUACACUGUGUGCUAGAAAAUUCGUUGUAUUAGUUCCCUAUUGCUGCCAUAACAAAUAAUCACAAGUUUAGUUCUUUUUUUUUUUUAAACUCUGACUUUAUUUUUAUUUAUUCUUUUUUUUAAGAUUUUUAUUUUU